rnacentral:rRNA from 1 species
UACGUAGGGUGCAAGCGUUGUCCGGAAUUAUUGGGCGUAAAGAGCUCGUAGGCGGUUUGUCGCGUCGGCUGUGAAAACCUAGGGCUCAACUCUGGGCUUGCAGCCGAUACGGGCAAACUAGAAUUCGGUAGGGGAGACUGGAAUUCCGGGUGGAGCGGUGAAAUGCGUAGAGAUCCGGAGGAACACCGACGGCGUAGGCAGCGCCCUAGACGAGACCUGACGCUCAGGCACGAAAGCGCGGGGAGCGAACAGG